rnacentral:ncRNA from 17 species
GCCGAAUGCCGCGACUGGCGCGUGCCCCGGCAGGGGCGCUCCGUGGAACCGACCACGAGGAAGCGGCGCACCCCGGGCCCGCCCGGGGCGUCAUCUCCGGAGAGCCGUCCGCCUGGGCAUCCGGG